rnacentral:rRNA from 1 species
CCUACGGGAGGCAGCAGUGAGGAAUAUUGGUCAAUGGGCGUGAGCCUGAACCAGCCAAGCCGCGUGAGGGAUGAAGGUUCUAUGGAUCGUAAACCUCUUUUGUCAGGGAAUAAAGUCUGGGACGUGUCCUCUUUUGUAUGUACCUUAUGAAAAAGCAUCGGCUAACUCCGUGCCAGCAGCCGCGGUAAUACGGAGGGUCCGGGCGUUAUCCGGAUUUAUUGGGUUUAAAGGGAGCGUAGGCCGGUCGUUAAGCGUGCCGUGAAAGCCUGGGGCUCAACCCUGGGAGUGCGGCGAGAACUGGAGACCUUGAGUUGGCGGAAGGCAGGCGGAAUGCGUGGUGUAGCGGUGAAAUGCUUAGAUAUCACGAAGAACUCCGAUUGCGAAGGCAGCCUGCCGGCGCCACACUGACGCUGAAGCUCGAAAGCGCGGGUAUCGAACAGGAUUAGAUACCCGAGUAGUC